rnacentral:rRNA from 1 species
CCUACGGGUGCAGCAGUGGGGAAUAUUGCACAAUGGGCGCAAGCCUGAUGCAGCCAUGCCGCGUGUGUGAAGAAGGCCUUCGGGUUGUAAAGCACUCUCAGCGGGGAGGAAGGCGGUGAGGUUAAUAACCUCAUCGAUUGACGUUACCCGCAGAAGAAGCACCGGCUAACUCCGUGCCAGCAGCCGCGGUAAUACGGAGGGUGCAAGCGUUAAUCGGAAUUACUGGGCGUAAAGCGCACGCAGGCGGUCUGUCAAGUCGGAUGUGAAAUCCCCGGGCUCAACCUGGGAGCUGCAUUCGAAACUGGCAGGCUAGAGUCUUGUAGAGGGGGGUAGAAUUCCAGGUGUAGCGGUGAAAUGCGUAGAGAUCUGGAGGAAUACCGGUGGCGAAGGCGGCCCCCUGGACAAAGACUGACGCUCAGGUGCGAAAGCGUGGGGAGCAAACAGGAUUAGAUACCCGGGUAGUU